CCUUCCUUCCUUCCUUCCUUCCUUCCUUCCUUCCUUCCUUCCUUCCUUCCUCCCUCUCUCCCCCUCCUUCCUUCACUCCUUUCCUUCUUUCUUUCCUUCCAUGUGAGUCCUCCCCUCUCCUCAUGAAAUUCCCAAACCGAAAGAAAAAUAGGACUAAGGUUUCUACUAGUUCACAUUUUGGACAAGAUCCCGCAUCUGGAGAAGUAAGGAGAAUUCCCAAGCCUUUCGCAUUCUUCACUUCCCCUAUUAAGAAAGAACUCAACCAGCCCUGUUGUGCUCCUUGCCUUUAAUUCCCUCUUUUGGUUGAAGCUGAAUUACUGCUUUGUUCUUUUCGGAGGCUCCAGCCGUUAUUUCUCCUGCAGAGAGAGAGAGAGAGAGAGACCCAAAGGUGCUGGGACUGGCCUGCUAAUCUGAGCUGGAUCUAGAAGUGAGUUGGAGAGUCUGGUUUUGAAGGCCGACUAGACAACGAUCAACAUGAUAGCCAUGCUGGAAGAGCACGGAGGUGCUGGGUGGAGGGCUUGGCCCCAGUUCCACCUUUAUGGAGACAGUGGGAACAUCUGGGAAAAGCCUUACUUGAACCAUGGCAAAGUAGACUGGUUGAACUCACUCAAGAAUCCUUGGCCAUAUCAAUCGUUCCAUCUGUUGAUAGCAUGAAGACGGUUCAGGCCAAUAUUGAGUGGAUGAACACAAUCGGAGCUUGUCACAACACAAGUGAUGUGGCUUUCCAUAACUACUAUGAUUGAAGGAGCUGCUGCAUGCUGCCUGCGAUUUGACAGACAUGGUUUCCGCACAAAGAAGCACUUUAUAAUUGCCUUGAACUUUGAGGUGGCUUCUCUGGAAAUCUGCUCAGAUGCUCCGCGCCUCCCGCCUGCUUCUCUUGAACGCAGCCUGCGUGAGAGGCAUCCAGCCUCCAGCAUCCAGGCACCCCAUCUGUGGCUCCGUCUUCCAGCAGAGAUCUCGUUUGAAGCCAAUUUUGCUCCAGGCUUUGAGCUGUGCUGGAAUGUUUUGAAAAAAGAACUGUCUUUUGCUCAACCAGAUUAAGAGAUGAAUCGUGCGCUUUCAGACUGCAAACAUUAACAGCUCCUGAAAGGUAGCAGUGAGUUCUCCUUCUGUCCUAUGCAUUGCCCACACACGUGAUUCCACUGAGGCUGAAGCUAAGAUUGGAUCCAUCCAUUCAAACAUAUAAAUAUUUAACUCUUUAAUGUUGGUUAAAUCUGCUCCGCCUCUAGGGCUGCAUUGAAAGCUUCCAGGAGAAGGUGUGGCUGAAUUCCCCGAUUUACAAAGGUGCCAAAAUCAGCCUCAAUCUGAUCUGAACGGGAGAUUUGAUUCAGGCCAUCAGAAUCCAUCUGACAAUCUGAUUCAGAUCCUUGAGUUGGUUCCGCUGACGGCUGGAUCGGUUUGAAAUGCAGUUUUCGGAUUAAACGGUUUGGAUUUGAAUUGACGUUAUAAAAUGGGGGCCAUCUGCAAAGACAUCCGUUGAAAUAAGGAUAAAUUUUCUGACAGGACAAUUAAUCGGUUGCCUCCUGGGGCUGUUGAUGCGCCAUCCCACAGCCAUUUGACCGAGAUGGUACUAUAAAGUCUCUUGCCUUGAGCAGGGGGUUGGACUGGAAGACCUCCGAGGUACCUUUCAGUCCUAGGAUCCUAUGAUUUUAUGAUUCUGAGAAGAAAGAGUACAACUUGCGGAAAAUAUUUUGGAUUUCUUAAAAAAAAAAACCCAAAUCCUAUGGCUUACCUCCCUUGGAUGUGCAGAGAUAAAUUUAAGUUUUCCAUGACAUGAGCUUCGGUGGCGCCUGUGAUGUUAAUACUCCUUACAGCAUCUAGGAGAGCAAGAGAUAAGGAAGAAAAGAUAACGAGAAACGCAACUUCAGCAUCCUGGUGAAAUGUCCCAUUUUCUGGACAGCCUCGUUGGGGGGCGCCAUGCUCAUCCCCUCUCGUCUCCAUUCUGCAGCGAUGUGGAACAUUGCAAUGGAAUCUUAUUAGGAAACAGAGCCGGCAUUUCUAGUCGCGUUUUUUGUCUGGUAUACCUGGAAGGCUGACCUCCUCCUUGCAAAUCUGAAGGUCCAAAUCUCCCUCAGCCUCCUUUAACCAUCUGUGGGCCCUUCCGAUGUUUUCUCUCCACCCAUUAAGACACUGGGGCAGUGGUGGGAUUCAGCCAGUUCGCACCAGUUCGGCAGAACCGGUAGCUAAUUUUGGUUGCCCAGGCCCAGAAUGGACCUCCGAAAGCAGCAUCCACACAGAGAACCGGUUAUUCACCUGUUUGAAUCCCACCACUGCACUGGGGGCUCCCCCCUCUCUUAUCUGAUUGUUUCCUAGAUACCAUCUCUUCCCUUCAUCCCCCAAAAUCAUUCUCACGUACCAUUACGCCCACUUCCCAAACCCAGAACAAAUCAAGGCAGAAUUGAAUCGUUGGAUGAGGUACAUCCUAGUCCAGGGGUAGGCAACCUUGGCUCAGGAAUUCUGGGAAUUGAAGUCCACAAGUCAUAAAAGAGCCAAGGUUGCCUACCCCUGGACUAGUCCCUCUUCAACUGCAAAGACUGAGGGAAGAAUGCCCAAACAUUCAUUAAAAGUUAUAAGAAUGGCUUUAGACACCGAGGGUUGGCAACUUACAGCCACGCAACUGCCUCUGCCCAUGUUAGCUGAAAAUAGGUGACACAAUUUUCCAACAUGCUAAAAUAGGGGACUUGCAGGGAAACCCUAAGAGAGGUUUAAUAUAGCCUUUAACCGGAAAUCCAGAAGAACAUGAUUUUAUUUUUAAAUGAUUGCUGCAAUCUCAUUCCAUAUUAGUUCAGCCUUGUAUCAUAGCUUUGCAAUUCCUGAUCUAUUUUAGAAAAAAAAUAUAUAGCAUUUAUCAGGUUUUUUUAGGCUCUCUUCAUUUCACAAUUCUUGCUUUCCUGAUAAAAGGCAGACACGUUUUCAUUAAACAAAGUCAGGAUUUACUUGCCAAACGAGGCCCUGGCUUGUUUUAACUCUAGUUUGCCAUCAAGUCAUUGUGGCUUGAUUUUUUUUUUUGACUUAAAACUUAGCCCUUGUGCGAAACCAACUAACUGCAGCUUAGCUAAGAAAUCCUGGUUGAAGAAUCCAAGCUUUAAAGCCUGGAUCCAGCCAA